GAAAAUUUGAACACAUUCAUACACAAAUGAAAAAAAAAAAAAAACCCAAAUCUCUCUCCACUCUUAUCCUUUCAUUUCUCCCCAAAAACUCUUAUCCUCUCAUUUCUCACAAGUCGCAACUCACACCCACCUUAAACCCACCCCCUGCCGCCCUCCAGCCCACGUCGACUCUCAUCUCCGACGACAACCUCUAACCGCGUUUGCUGUCUUCCGCCGCUCAACCCACCACAACUAUCACCGUCGUUGCCUUCUUCCCCCGCUACUCCUAUCCUCUUCUACCUUCAUUUCUUCUUUUUCAUUGACAACAACCAACCACCAUCACAGCCAACCAUCAUUGCUGUCGCUUUUUUCUCCACCGCGGCUGCCCUCAAACACCACCACAGCCAACCACUACUGCCACUGCUACCUUUAACCGGCACCGCUGUUAGAUUUCAAUGAGUAUUAUUUACAUAUAUUAUUAUUAUUGUUAUUAUUAUUUAUAUUAUAGGAUUUUUGGUUAACUUUUGAGAUAUUAGUGACUUGUCGUCACAAAAGGCUUUUGGGGACAACAAAAGUGACUUUGUCGCCCCAAAACACAAAUUUCUUGUAGUGACUCCAACAUUGUGGUGUGACAAUCUAGGCACUACUUAUUUGUCAA